rnacentral:rRNA from 1 species
GCGCACCCUUCGGGGCGAGCGGCGGACGGGUUAGUAACGCGUGGGAACAUACCCUUUUCUAUGGAAUAGCCUUUGGAAACGAAGAGUAAUACCAUAUACGCCCUACGGGGGAAAGAUUUAUCGGAGAAGGAUUGGCCCGCGUAAGAUUAGAUAGUUGGUGGGGUAAUGGCCUACCAAGUCUACGAUCUUUAGCUGGUUUUAGAGGAUGAUCAGCAACACUGGGACUGAGACACGGCCCAGACUCCUACGGGAGGCAGCAGUGGGGAAUCUUAGACAAUGGGCGCAAGCCUGAUCUAGCCAUGCCGCGUGUGUGAUGAAGGCCUUAGGGUCGUAAAGCACUUUCGCCAGAGAUGAUAAUGACAGUAUCUGGUAAAGAAACCCCGGCUAACUCCGUGCCAGCAGCCGCGGUAAUACGGAGGGGGUUAGCGUUGUUCGGAAUUACUGGGCGUAAAGCGUACGUAGGCGGAUCAGAAAGUAGGGGGUGAAAUCCCGAGGCUCAACCUCGGAACUGCCUCCUAAACUCCUGGUCUUGAGUUCGAGAGAGGUGAGUGGAAUUCCAAGUGUAGAGGUGAAAUUCGUAGAUAUUUGGAGGAACACCAGUGGCGAAGGCGGCU